CCGAACACGAUAGCGGAGAGGAAACACCCGUUCCCAUCCCGAACACGGAAGUUAAGCUCUCCAGCGCCGAUGGUAGUUGGGGCCAGCGCCCCUGCAAGAGUAGGUCGUYGCUAGGC
rnacentral:rRNA from 1 species